CCGGAGAAUGUUAUCACGGGAGACACACGGCGGGUGCUAACGUCCGUCGUGAAGAGGGAAACAACCCAGACCGCCAGCUAAGGUCCCAAAGUCAUGGUUAAGUGGGAAACGAUGUGGGAAGGCCCAGACAGCCAGGAUGUUGGCUUAGAAGCAGCCAUCAUUUAAAGAAAGCGUAAUAGCUCACUGGUCGAGUCGGCCUGCGCGGAAGAUGUAACGGGGCUAAACCAUGCACCGAAGCUGCGGCAGCGAACGUAUCACUUAAAGCGAUUCAGCGGGUUACGAUUGACGGAGCGAAGCGACGUCAAAGCGUAUACAAAGUCGAGUCGGUUUAAGGAUACGUUCGUUGGGUAGGGGAGCGUUCUGUAAGCCUGUGAAGGUGGCCUGUGAGGGUUGCUGGAGGUAUCAGAAGUGCGAAUGCUGACAUAAGUAACGAUAAAGCGGGUGAAAAGCCCGCUCGCCGGAAGACCAAGGGUUCCUGUCCAACGUUAAUCGGGGCAGGGUGAGUCGACCCCUAAGGCGAGGCCGAAAGGCGUAGUCGAUGGGAAACGGGUUAAUAUUCCCGUACUUGGUGUUACUGCGAAGGGGGGACGGAGAAGGCUAUGUUGGCCGGGCGACGGUUGUCCCGGUUUAAGCGUGUAGGUGUGUGUUCCAGGUAAAUCCGGUUCACUUUAACACUGAGGCGUGACGACGAGGCACUACGGUGCUGAAGCAACAAAUGCCCUGCUUCCAGGAAAAGCCUCUAAGCAUCAGGUAACAUCAAAUCGUACCCCAAACCGACACAGGUGGUCAGGUAGAGAAUACCAAGGCGCUUGAGAGAACUCGGGUGAAGGAACUAGGCAAAAUGGUGCCGUAACUUCGGGAGAAGGCACGCUGACACGUAGGUGAAGUGAUUUACUCAYGGAGCUGAAGUCAGUCGAAGAUACCAGCUGGCUGCAACUGUUUAUUAAAAACACAGCACUGUGCAAACACGAAAGUGGACGUAUACGGUGUGACGCCUGCCCGGUGCCGGAAGGUUAAUUGAUGGGGUCAGCGCAAGCGAAGCUCCUGAUCGAAGCCCCGGUAAACGGCGGCCGUAACUAUAACGGUCCUAAGGUAGCGAAAUUCCUUGUCGGGUAAGUUCCGACCUGCACGAAUGGCGUAAUGAUGGC
rnacentral:rRNA from 1 species